rnacentral:lncRNA from 1 species
GGUGGAGGAGGGACGCGCUGGAAACGCGAUCCGGGCGCUGAGCAAGUUCGAGAAAAUUUUGGAAUUUUGCCACGGAGGAGAAAAACGAGGAGAUCCCGAUGAUUUUAAAUUCCUUUUUAUUGAGAUUCUGGAAGUGGCGAUGAAAAUUCCCGGGAAAUAACUUUGGCACGGGGGAGAGGAGCAGGAAAAGGAGGAGAAGAGGAGGAGGAGGAGGAAAAAACCUCGGCCAAGUUCAAUAAAAUUUUGGAAUUUUGCCACGGAGGAGUAGAAAGAGGAGGAGGAGCAGGAGGAGGAGGAGGAGAUCCCGAUGAUUUUAAAUUCCUUUUUAUUGAGAUUCUGGAAGUGGCGAUGAAAAUUCCUGGGAAAUAACUUUGGCACGGAGGAGGAGGAGGAGGAGGAGGAGGAGGAGGAGGAGGAGGAAGAGGAGGAGAAAACCUCGGCCAAGUUCAAUAAAGUUUUGGAAUUUUGCCACGAAGGAGAGGAGCAGAAAAAGGAGGAGAAGAGGAGGAGGAGGAGGAGGAAAAAACCUCGGCCAAGCUCAAUAAAAUUUUGGAAUUUUGCCACGAAGGAGAGGAGCAGAAAGAGGAGAAGAGGAGGAGGAGGAGGAGGAAGAAGAAACCUCGGCCAAGCUCAAUAAAAUUUUGGAAUUUUGCCACGAAGGAGAGGAGCAGAAAGAGGAGAAGAGGAGGAGGAGGAGGAGGAGAAAACCUCGGCCAGGUUCAAUAAAAUUUUGGAAUUUUGCCACGGAGGAGAGGAGCAGAAAGAGGAGGAGAAGAGGAGGAGGAGGAGGAGGAGGAGGAGAAAACCUCGGCCAGGUUCAAUAAAAUUUUGGAAUUUUGCCACGAAGGAGAGGAGCAGAAAGAGGAGAAGAGGAGGAGGAGGAGGAGGAGGAGAAGAGGAGGAGAAAAAGGAGCAGAAAAAGGAGGAGAAGAGGAGGAGGAGGAGGAGGAAAAAACCUCGGCCAGGUUCAAUAAAAUUUUGGAAUUUUGCCACGAAGGAGAGGAGCAGAAAGAGGAGAAGAGGAGGAGGAGGAGGAAGAAGAAACCUCGGCCAAGUUCAAUAAAAUUUUGGAAUUUUGCCACGGAGGAGAGGAGGAGAAAAAGGAGGAGAAGAGGAGGAGGAGGAGGAGAAAACCUCGGCCAAGCUCAAUAAAAUUUUGGAUUUUUGCCACGAAGGAGAGGAGCAGAAAGAGGAGAAGAGGAGGAGGAGGAGGAGGAGGAGGAGGAGAAAACCUCGGCCAAGCUCAAUAAAAUUUUGGAAUUUUGCCA